AAGUCGUAACAAGGUUUCCGUAGGUGAACCUGCGGAAGGAUCAUUAACACUUUAAUCCUUUAUAAACAACUGAGAACAUGUACCUCUACCUGAGAGUAAAAUACCGUCAGACGGAUAGUGUAUGGUGAAAGUAGUUUAUUCUACUAGCUAUCCACUGACUAGAAGCUCCGAGCUUCAGGUUUUUAUUUGUUCAGGCUUUUUUUCGCCAUCACCAUGGUAUGAUUACUAAUAUUAACAACUAUAAUUCAAAAUGAACUAAUCUAUGCUUCGCUAGUAGAAAUACUAGUAGAAUCAAGUUUAUACGAAACUAAGAACAACUCUUAGCAAUGGAUAUCUUGGUUCCC
rnacentral:misc_RNA from 1 species